CCUCUCUUGAACUGCCUUAGCUCCAGUGUUCUUUUUAGGACUGAUACUAAGAUUUUUGCCUUUGCUGAUGGUGCAAAUGUCAGACAGUUCUGAGCCAGCAGGAGAAGUCUGAACCAAGCCUCACACUCCUGGAAAGGAAACCAGCCUUUGUCCCAGGACUCUUUGAAGAAGGCAGUGAAGAUUUAUUUCCGACUCAUUUCAUAGUCCUGUGGGCUGCAGCAGUGGGUUGGAGAUCCAGGCUCCUCAGUGUGAGGCCCGCACAAUCUCCAAGGAUGAGGAGGAGACACAGGGUUGGCAUACGAGGACAUUUCUAUCAUUCAUGCUCACUUAUCUCUGGCCAAGACUGGUCGCCUGAUCAGGUUAACUACAAGGAGGGUGGCGGGGCCUGGUGUAUAUGAGCCUUCACACCUCACAAGAGAGACCAGAGAGAAGAUAAUGGGGAGAAGAUACUUCAGACUAACUAUUGUCAUUAAAAGCCAUCCCACUAAAUAAGAGGGACAAACACCUAGG
rnacentral:lncRNA from 1 species